CCAAAUGGUGAUAUUUACUUCCUUUCUUUUUCUUAUGACAAAAGUGUUUUUUUCUUUUCUAUUCUGAGGGAGACAAAAGUUGUUUUUAAUUUUCUUCCUUUUGUUCAUCUUUAUGGGUACAUUAAUGGUGUGACGCGUUUGGACUUCAAAGGGACAAUUGACAAUUUUCUUCCAUAAAAAUGACAAUGACAAAAGAUUCUUGCUGAUUAUAAGAGGUGGAUGAUGAGCAAUAGUGCUGCUAAGAUGUGACCAUAAAAAUCACACAGGUUGGCCCCAUGUUUUUUUGCACUCUUUCAAGCUCAUACCAUGUGCUACGUUCCAUAACAUACCCAAAUACCUUAUCAUCCCAAUUAAUAUCAUUAUUCUCUUUCCCUAAAAGGUAAAGAUAUACCAUAUUAUUCAUACCCUCUUGGUGAUUUCAAGUCAUGAAACUCAUAAUUAAUUGUGGUAUAUAUAGGUAAUAGGUAAUGAAAAGAGCUGAAGAUCAAAGAAAGAGAGACAUAGAAGAAUAUAUAUGUAAGAAGAAGAAGAAGAAGAAGAAUGAAGAAUUACUUGAGGUGGCUAGAAGGUUUGGCUACAGCAUGGGGAUUCAUGUUGUUGGUGGCUCUUUUAUGUUGUUGUCUAAGCACCAAACCGCGACAAGACGGUGAUGAUAUCUCUGGCAAUGGUGGGUGCACUUGCGAUGGCGGCGGCCAUGGUUGUGUAUGAUGCUUUCCAUCAUUUAAUCAUAAGCUAUUUUUUGUGUUAGGUAAUUCAAUAGGUUGGGGUAUACUUGAUGUACAUAUUUUUAGUAUCAUUUUUUGUUAAAUUUUUUAAUUUUUAUAUAAACAUAGAAUUGAUAGUAUGAAAUCUGUUUAUAAUCAUGAGAGGGUUCUCUGAUGAUUUUGUAAUUUAGUGGAUAAAUAGAGGGUUAGAGCUAGAUAUAUGCAUAUAUUGUUCUAAAUUUGAAGUUCUAUACAUUACUGAUAGUGUUUUUUUUUUUCUUUCUUCAUUCCUUAAA